AUGGCGUUCGAUGUGUCAAUGCUGGUGGAUCGGGGUCUCUCAUGGUCGGAUCAGGGUUUGAGUGUCGUCCUUGAGCUGCCAUUGUCAUUGCCAUCUUCGCCUCGCCUCAGGUGCCUCCUCCUAGCUCUUUCCCUCCUUCCCGUUUUCUUUCCAGCCAAGCGUGUCUGGGUCGUUGAUUUCGUCCUUCGUUGUCUUAGACUCAGCUCGGUUGUCUCCUUCUACCUCUCUUCCUCCUCCCAUGCUCCGGCGAGCUCAAGGCCAAUGGUGACGGAAAGGAUGAAAUGGACACUGCCUCCCUUGUCAUUCCACCCUUCCGAUCUAGUGUAG
rnacentral:rRNA from 1 species